ACGACUCUCGGCAAUAGAUAUCUCGGCUCUUGUAUCGAUGUAGCAAAAUGUGAUACUUAGUGUGAAUUGUAGAAUCCGGUGAACCAUAGAGUAUUUGAACGCAAGUUGCACCCGAAGCCAUUAGGCCGAGGGCACGUUUGCCUGGGAAUCACGCAUCGCCUUGCCCACUCAUAUCCUGACUCAAUCACGGGGCUCACUGUUAUGGUAGGGCGGAUACUAGCCUCCAGUGCACCUCGAGCUCGUGGAUGGCCUAAAUGCGAGUCCAGAUCAACGGACGUCGUGGAAAGUGGUAGUUGUAACUCAACUCUCUUUGUUGUAGCGGCUAUAGACCAUCGCGUGUCCAGACUCCAGGACGCUUUCACGCUUAGGCACUCUGACCGCGACCCUAGGUCAGGCAAGAUUACCUGUUGAUUUUAAGCAUAUCAAUAAGCGGAGGAAGAGAAACUUACAAGGAUUCCCUUAGUAACGACGACCAAAUCGGGAACAACCCAGUCUUAGAAUCGGGCAUCUCUGUCGUCCGAAUUAUAGUUUGGAGAAGCAUCCUCAGCGGUAGACUGGGCCUAAGUCCCCUGGAAGAAGGCGCCAGAGAAGGUUAGAGCCCCAUUUUUCCCGAACCCUGUCGCACAAUGAGGCACUGUGUACGAGUUAGGUUGUUUGGAAAUGCAGCCCAAAUUUGGCAGUGAAUUCUGUCCAAAGAUAAAUAUGAGUGACAGACCGAUAGCGAAAAAGUACCGUGAGGGAAAGAUAAAAAGGACUUUUAAAAGAGAGUCAAAGAGUUCUUGAAAUUAUCGGGAGAAAAGCGGAUGGGGACCGGCGAUGCACCCCAGUCGGAUAUGGAAUGGCGACGAGCCGGUUCGGCGAUCGACUCGGGGCAUGGACCAGCGUGGAUUGGGGGGCAUCCAAAGCCCAGGCUCUUGAUACGCUCGUGGAACGCUGUCCUCUCGAUUGUGGCAGGCAGCUCCAGCAUGCUUUGGCAUCUGCGAGCUACGGAUUCUGGCCUGUAGGCUCCCCCAUUCAACCCGUCUUGAAAAAUGGACCAAGGAGUCUGGCAUGUGUGCGAGUAAACCUGUAAGGCGUAAGGAAACUAAUUGGUGGUAAGCAGAACUGGCGAUGCGGGAUGAACCAAAAGCCGGGUUACUGUGCUAAACUGUGCGCUAACCUAGACCCCACAAAGGGUGUUGGUCGAUUAAGACAGCAGAACGGUGUUCAUGGAAGUAAAAACCCACUAAGGAGUGUGUAACAGCUCACCUGCCGAAUAAACAAGACCCGAAAAUGGAUGGCACUUAAGCGUGCGACCUACACCCAGCCGUCGGGAAAAGUUCCAUGCCCCGAUGAGUAGGAGGCCAUCGGUGUAGAUAUAGGUGAUAGUAGCAAAUAUUCAAAUGAAAACUUUGAAGGCUAAAGAGGGGAAUGGUUCCGUGUGAAUGGCACUUGCACAUGGGUUAGUCGAUCCUAAGGGUCGGGAAAACCCCGACAGAUAGCGCAUUUCAUGCGUACUCCGAAAGGGAAUCAGGUUAAAAUUCUUGGACCAGGACGUGGCGGUCAACGACAAUGUUAGGUAGUUUGGAGCCGUCAGAGGGAGCCUCGGGAAGAGUUAUCUUUUUUGUUAAAUAGCCUACCCACCCUGGAAUCGGCUCAGCUGGAGGUAGGGUCUUGAGGCUGGAAGAGCACCGCACAUCACGUGGUGUUCGGUGCACUUCUGGCGGCCCUUGAAAAUCCAAAUGACCGAAUAUCGUCCACACCUGGUUGUUAUCAUAUCCACAUCAAGUCUCCAAGGGGAACAACCUCUGGUCAAUGGAACAAUGUAGGCAAGGGAAGUCUGCAAAAUGGAUCCAUAACUUCUAGAAAAUGAUUGGCACUGAGGACUGGGAACGGGGGUCCCAGUCCUGAACCCGUCGAUUAUCAGUGGACUACUCGAGCUGCUCCUACAGUAUGAGCGGUUCACCACAUGCCGGUUGGGGGAAGGAUUGGGAACGGUUUCGUCGGGGGCCUUCCCCGCGCGUCAAACAGCCAGCUCAAAACUGGUACGAACAAGGGGAAUCCGACUAUUUAAUGAAAACAAAGCAUUGUGAUGGUCACAACGGAUGUUCACGCAUUGUCAUUUCUGCCCAAUGCUCUGAAUGUCAAAGUGAAGAAAUUCAACCAAGUGCGGGUAAACGACAGGAGUAAUAUGACUCUCUUAAGGUAGCCAAAUGCCUCGUCAUCUAAUUAAGGAUGCGCAUGAAUGGAUUAACGAGAUUCCCACUAUCCCUGUCUACUAUCUAGCGAAGACACAGCCAAGGGAAUGGGCUUGGCAGAAUCAGCUAGGAAAGAAGACCCUCUUGAUCUUGACUCUACUCUGAAAGGCAAAAGUGAAAUACCACUAUUUUUAACAUUAUUUUACUUAUUUUGUAAGUCAAAAGCGGAGCACUGCCCCUCUUUUUGGACCCAAGGGUCGCUCUGCGGGCCGAUCCAGGCGGAAGACAUUGUCAAGUGGGGAGUUUGGCUGGGCGGCACAUCUGUUAAAAGAUAACGCAGGUGUCCUAAGAUGAGCUCAAAGAGAAUAGAAAUAUCGUGUGGAACAAAAGGGUAAAAGCACGUUUGAUUCUGAUUUCCAGUAUGAAUACGAACCAUGAAUGUGUGGCUUAACGAUUCUUUAGACCAUCAAAAUUCGAAGCUAGAGGUGUCAGAAAAGUGUUACCACGGGGAUAACUAGCCUGUUGCAGCCAAGCGUUUAUAGCGACAUUGUUUUUUCAUUCUUCGAUGUCGGCUCUUCCUAUCAUUGUAAAGCAGAAUUCACCAAGUGUUGCACUGUUCACCCACCAAUAGGGAAUGUGAGCUGGGUUUAGAUUGUCGUGAGACAGGUUAGUUUUACCUUACUUAUGAUAGUGUCGCAGUAGUAAUUCAACCUAGUACGAGAGCAAAUGUUGAUUCACAUAAUUUGUCAUCGCGCUUGGUUGAAAAGCCAGUGGCACAAAGCUACCAUGUGCUGGAUUAUGACUGAACGCCUCUAAGUCAGAAUCUAGGCUAGAAGCGAUGCAUGCGCCCGCUGUCCGCUUGCCGACCCGCAAUAGAGGCCUCAUCCCCCAAGGGCACGUGUCGUUUGCUAAGCCACCACGGCGGAAGACUCACGUUAGACACCUUGAAGUAUAAUUUCCAUCGACCGGUGGGUAGACUACUUUGCAGACGACUUAAAUAUGCAACAGGGGCUUAUAAGUUAAAGAGUGGCCUUG
rnacentral:rRNA from 1 species